AUUUUGGAAAUAAUAUUGAUAAGAUGAGUCAAUGGUGCUGCACAAAGUCGGAAGACGAACGUCAAAUUAACGAACUGAUGUAAUACUAUUUGUUUCUCUGUAGGGAAUCCGUCGUGUUUGUAUGUGUUCGGCUACAUUCCUAGAUGAAGUACAAGCGCUGGCUGCGGCGUACAUGGAAGACUACAUAUUCGUCACAACAGGCAUUGUCGGUGGCACCAAUCCGGAUGUUGAACAGCUGUUUUUCAGUGCUCGAAAAGAGAUAAGAGAGCUAAGCUGAUCGAAGUUUUACAAGAUCUCGGUGAUGCCAAGACUAUCGUUUUUGUCGACAACAAAAAGACGGCGGAUUUCGUCGCUACAUUUUUCUGCAAUAACAACUUACAAGUAAGAAUUAAACCUGUUGUAAAUUGGGCAAGGUGUCUUAACUUUAAAUAGAAGGUAUGGGUAUGGCAAUCCGUUUUACCCAAAAUCAAAAAAAAUAUCAGUCUUUUUUUCUGUUUCACUGCUCUCGCCACCUCCCGGUCAGAUUUCUAGGUAAUUCUCUACAUACACUCACCGAAUUUUUCUGCUGCAUCGCGCUAGCGCUGUAACGUACUUUGCGUCGUCAGGAUAUUUCGUCAUAUUGUGGUUUCACCCCAUCUAUCAUUUGUACCAAUUGUAGAUAUUUUCCCUAACAAGUCUUCAUGUUUACAUUCUUGCCAGUGGUGCUGAUACUUUUUUUUAUCACAACCACUUGUUUCAGCUGUUCCUAGUAUUGAAGUAUUACUUAUGCAAGUACUUAGAGAGGGCUGCCCGUUACAAAAGAAGAGCUUAUCACGAUGAUGUGAUGGUAUCUUUGCAAAACUGGAAAAAAUUCUGUGCUGUGGGGGCCUUAAGUAUGUGCUCAAAAUUUUGAAAAAUGCGAACUGCAAAAACAGUUGAUCAGAAUUUCGAACGUCAAAAGUACUUAUUUCUGGAAAAUCAGUUAAUCUACAUCCUGAUUUUCUGCUGUUUCAUCAGUCACUAUGCAGUGUGUUUGGACAACGGAAGCAUUCUUGAAUCAGACUGCUUCAGUUUAUAUCGAAGAUGUAUUGCUUGUCAUGCCCGGUGACCAACUUCACAGGACUAUGUUCAAAUUUAGAUUACAUGCCUAGCAUGAAAGAGAUCAAGUAUAUUACCGAAAUUCGCUAUCUCAAUUCGCGAAUUCCGAACUCAUCUUCAGUCUGUCAUUCUGAUGCAGGGGUCCUGAAAGAAGUUGGAACGUUUUGAACCGUCUCAGCCAAUAAGUAUUAGAAAAUGGAAGUCGCUUAAUGAUGAGUUUCUUCGCUGCCCGUCAACUUACCAUCCAAGCAAGCACUGUCUGUCAAACCAUUAGCCGAAUACAAUUAAUACCAGUAGUUCACCAAAACAAGAGGUUAAGAAUCAUACUGAAUCAAAAGAGGUAUCCAGUCGAACCAAAUUUCAUAAUAACGGUUGGAAGCCCGAAGGAAUUUUUGAAAAAUGCUUCCUGCCCAUUAUCUUCAGUCGUUGCUGCAGCCCGAAAACAAAGUAUUAAAAGUUAUAUAAAUUGAAGUGCAUAUCUGGGCUCCCUUCUUUUCUGUGGCCCCGUUUCCCUUAAAUUUUUAAUAAGCCCGUAGGGGGUCAUGCCCCUACUGUGAUCAGCAGUAAACGGUUGUGAGUGCGCUGUCCGGAAAGGGGACGUGGGGGUCCCCAUGGUUCGAUGAUAUCAUUGGAGGGCUGUGGGGCUGCCCAAAAAUCCGAAUUAACGGUUAAUCGCUCACGUAAAAGCUUGUCCGCGACCUUCGCUCUUCUUCCGGCUUCUCUUAGCCACGCACCGGGUAAUCUCCCCGGUGAGUCAACUGAGGUAGUGUCUCCCCCUACCUUGGUUGAC